CGAACUAAAAAGGAAAUAGGUUCACAUAAAAAAAAGGGAGUAUUUAUUAGAAGCACGGCCUCUUAGCAUUUUGCUCCGUAACCUUUGUUCUGCUUUUCAGUUGACAGCCUACUCUCUCACUUAGAGAGUUUAACACUGAUCUAUAUUACCAUUGCUGAACUUAAAGAAUAUCUAUCUUCAGUCAUUGAGCAAAUACACACCCAUUUAGCAAGGGCAAACUUGAUAACUGCAACAUAAAGAUUUUUCUGCUUCCCUACUGCUGAAUUGAGGUGGUAGACUUCCCACCAUAUUUUUGGAGCCUUUAUGCUCAGUAGCAUAGACAGACCAUUUUCUCCUCAUAGUUGCUACAGAUUUGCAUCAUGCUAAGUAGCCAAGAAACAUUAUUUAAAAUAAGGAUGUCAUGGUAUCUAAUAGUGUCUUGCAUGAUUCAUUUCUGACAAACAAUUCCUCUUACCUUUUUUACUAUUUGAAGAGGAGACAUAUGCAACAUUAUGUUUAAUAGUCUGCCAAUACAGAUUAACCUUCAUAUAUACAUGAGAUAGAAAUCCACUAGAAAAAACAUAUACAUGAAAUAGAAAUAACACGGUUAAAAUUACUAUGAUUAUGCAUUUCGUUAUCAAUCAUAUGAAUUGUGAAAAUAGAUGUAUUUUUUAUCGGCAAAGGUAUAAUUGUGAAAAUAGAGGUAUUAUUGCAUAUGAAUAAGAACUCCAAAGCACUCAUAACAAAUCAAUUAGUUUUUUUCUGCCAUUAAUUGAGAUUAGAAUAAAACUUUCAAAAAGCUCAUUAAACAGUAUAAUUGACACUUCCCAACAUUUUAAACUACAAUCUCAUAUAUAUGCUUAUUAUGACAUGACGACCCAACUCCAGGAGAAAUAGAUUGAGAUCAGAUUGAAGGGAACACACAGUUGAGCAGAGAAGGAGAUGAACAAGUAAGAAGCGGGAAUUACAAGCCUAUAGUGACUGCAAACAUUUGGGAAGUUGAAGGCAUAGAGUAAGAGGAACCCUUGUAAGCAGCAGAUGUAACAUUCUUUUUUGAUAAAUGCGAAAAGGAAUGAUAUAGGGAGGUGCAAAAUGCCAAGAGAGCUAAUAGUGCCUUUACUCUCUUAUUAGGAUGCAUUAUAGAAAAAAGAAAAAGGAUAAAAAGGUUACGUAAACCUCGCUCAUUUAUCUAUUUCCCAACCUGCAUAACGCAUAAAUAUACACUGUUUCGAAGUACUUGAGAAAUUAAGAACAUUUUGGUCAUUGAGUCUAAGAAAUAAGAGCUGCAAUCCUAUCCCAACUUCCCAUUUGCAAUCCACUUGUCAAAAGCAACUCAUUUAUUGCUGUCUUCAUAGCAUACUUGAGCCAGUAAAAGGAAACUAGUAACAGUUUUAUACAAGUGCAUUAAUGGUAUCAGGAAUCUCUUAAUUAGUCGCUAAACCCAUCGUCCGUGCUAAAAAUCCAUAACAAAAGAAUUACUUCACUGUCUACACAAGCAGAGCGUUUAAUUUCAACUUUUUAAAGUUACAAUAACUAACAAGACAACAAAUUUGGGAAACACUGUAGACAGGUUCAACAGCCUGAGCUUCGCUCUGGAAGAAAAUAUUUUUUCAAGUAUUCAGAUGAACAAUGAGUGUGAUUUAGUUGCUGUUACCUCAUUGUUGCUGAGGCUUAACAGUGUGCUUCUCUACACGCCAAAAUUGCACAUCUGCACAAAUUCCAUUUCAGAAUCAAUAUAUUUAGUCCAUAGCUCCUUGUACUGCCACGAUUUAUCCAAUGAUUUGGUUUUCGAGUAGAAGGUCAUCAGCCCAGCUGGAAGAGUUCCCAAUUUCCACAAUGUACGAUCCGUUCAAGGCUAUGUCCAGCCAAGGCUUCAUAUCUCCAUUAUAGUGAAUCACAGCAGCCUUGUGGAUUUCAUCCAUGCUUACACUUGGAUUGUACCCAAGGCCAAGUACAUGCCACGAUUUAUCCAAUGAUUUGGUUUUCGAGUAGAAGGUCAUCAGCCCAGCUGGAAGAGUUCCCAAUUUCCACAAUGUACGAUCCUCAUUC
rnacentral:lncRNA from 1 species